ACGGACACAUCUAAACCUGCAGGACACCGGCCCUCGAGGCCUGGAGUUCGACACGUGACUUAAAGGAAUGUGAAGUAAAGUCCUUUCUUAGAAUAAAGUUACUAAACUACAAAGAAUGUGAAUAACAAAAGUAGUAAAUCUGGCUGGUCUGGGGAUUGAACUGCAUCCUGUGAGUCUGCCAAUGAAGAUACCUGGAACGCUGUAGCCAAAGCCUGGGCCCCGUGAAGCGGCUGCUCUGUCAGUCCCACAUAGACUGCCCACAUGGAGGAGUUUACAAACCUGAAACAGCAACAGUGACAGAUGAUAACUGAGAAAAGUUUAUGUCAAUCUAAAAUGUUCCUGAUGUUGGCAUUUAAUAAAUAAACAUACUGAACGUGACAACAACCAUGUCUGGCGUUGUUGACCAGCAGGAUGGUACAUUGACUGG